UGGGACUGUACACAUAAAUGAAAACAAAUUUCUAAGCUUGAGUUUAAGACUGUAUCUAUAAAGAAUAUCCACAGAGAAGGUCAGGGAGUUCUUUCUAAAUACAGUAAUCAACUCUGCUUUUUCAAAUAAGGAAGAGUUUGUACUUCCAAUCUUCUACGGAGAAGAACUGCAAUGCUCAAACUCUUUUAAGUUUCCUUUGAGGCCUAACAAAACAAGAAGAUACUCAGCUAGAAGAUUCCUCUGUGAGGCUGCUAGUACUUCUCCAGCAGACCAAGCCAGGAGAGCUUUCUCAAAGAUUCUACCAGAUUUUCCAGGGGUUCUCAAAGAUUGUCUGCAAACCAGCUCUGAUAAAUGAUUGCAGCUUCUUGAGUCUAUAGAGAGAGACCUUUAUGCUCUCUCUACUAGGAAAAUGUUGAAGACAAUAUAUAAAUUUCUGAAAAGAUUUGAAUGAUUUGAUUUGGCAAAAUAAAGAAUUGCCAAUCCUACAUAGAGCUCCAUACACCAAUUUUUAAAAAUAAUUUUAUUGCUUCACAAAAUCUGGGAACCACUGGAUAUAUGAAGUAUCUCUUUUAGCUAAAGCAAAGUCAACUCUCACCCUCGAAAAAAGUUCAUUUUUUGAUCUGUUUUUAUUUUUCUGUGGCAAAAAGUGCUUUUGUGAUGCCUCUAUGAAUAAAAGACUCAUUUUCCUAAGUGAUGCAUCUGCUUUUAAUGUCUUAAAUGCUGGGAUAGAACAGACAUAUCUUCCCUGGUCUGGGUUUUCUUAAAUAGCCAGAAGUCUUCGUGAUGAAGACAAGCAAGCAUCUAAUAGAGAAAUAACUCCAAGACAAAGUGCCGUGGCUGCACGAUGUCGCCUCCCUGACAACCUAUAAAUGGACCAUAUUGAUGAAGUGAACAGGACUCUCUCUGGUCAUUUUCAACUAGAAACUAAUAAUCCCCGUCAUGAUAUCAGGCAUGCAAUAACCUCGGUUAAGACUAGGUUCAUCAAAUAAAUCACUCAGGAAUUUCUCUAUUUCUUUCUCUGGACACAUUGCACAUCUGCUCAAUGAAAGGAAGAAAGAAGCAAUAUUUCUUUGAUCAGGAAUUUUUUUUUAAUAUUCUUGUAUCCAUCCCUUGGGAUACUAUCUUUUCAAGUGGGUGCAGAUAAUACAUCACUUUCUAAUGAAUGUGGAGAAUUUAUGAAUUUAAGCUAUAAAACCAAAUAUGAGGGAUUUUAGUUUAUCUCAAUCUAUAUUUUACACUGUCAUGAGAAAAUAAACCGGACCACA
rnacentral:lncRNA from 10 species